rnacentral:rRNA from 1 species
AUACAGAGGGUGCGAGCGUUAAUCGGAAUUACUGGGCGUAAAGCGCGCGUAGGCGGUUUGUUAAGUCGGAUGUGAAAUCCCCGGGCUCAACCUGGGAACUGCAUUCGAAACUGGCAGGCUAGAGUAUGGUAGAGGGAAGUGGAAUUCCGGGUGUAGCGGUGAAAUGCGUAGAUAUCCGGAGGAACAUCAGUGGCGAAGGCGGCUUCCUGGACCAAUUCUGACGCUGAGGUGCGAAAGCGUGGGGAGCAAACAGGAUUAGAAACCCGUGUAGUCC